rnacentral:rRNA from 1 species
CCUACGGGAGGCAGCAGUGAGGAAUAUUGGUCAAUGGGCGAGAGCCUGAACCAGCCAAGUCGCGUGAAGGAUGACGGCCCUACGGGUUGUAAACUUCUUUUGUCAGGGAGCAAUUGGGUCCACGCGUGGGCUUAGCGAGAGUACCUGCAGAAAAAGCAUCGGCUAACUCCGUGCCAGCAGCCGCGGUAAUACGGAGGAUGCGAGCGUUAUCCGGAUUUAUUGGGUUUAAAUGGUGCGUAGGCGGAAUAUCAAGUCAGCGGUAAAAAUUCGGGGCUCAACCCCGUCGUGCCGUUGAAACUGAUGGUCUUGAGUGGGCGAGAAGUAGGCGGAAUGCGUGGUGUAGCGGUGAAAUGCAUAGAUAUCACGCAGAACUCCGAUUGCGAAGGCAGCAUACCGGCGCCCAACUGACGCUGAAGCACGAAAGCGUGGGUAUCGAACAGGAUUAGAUACCCGGGUAGUC